UGUGUCCCCUAGUGUCUCAGUGUCCCCAUGUUUUCCAGUGUCCCCAAGUGUCUGUGUCCCCAGGUCUCACAGUGUCUGUGUCCCCAUGUGUCCUAGUGUCUCAGUGUCCCCUAGUGUCUGUGUUCCCAUGUGUCCCCUAGUGUCUGUGUCCCCAUGUCCCCAAGUGUCUCAGUGUCCCCAUUUUUUCCAGUGUCCCCAAGUGUCUCAGUGUUCCCAGUGUCUGUGUCCUAGUGUCUCAGUGUCCCCUAGUGUAUGUGUCAUCAUGUGUCCCCUAGUGUCUGUGUCCCCUAGUGUCUCAGUGUCUUACCUGAGCUGUACAGCUGCUGUCUGGACUCUCUGUGCUGUGUAGCUGCUCCCCC